rnacentral:rRNA from 1 species
AUUAAACUGAAGAGUUUGAUCCUGGCUCAGAUUGAACGCUGGUGGCAUGCUUAACACAUGCAAGUCGAACGGUAACAGGUCUUAGGAUGCUGACGAGUGGCGGACGGGUGAGUAACGCGUAGGAAUCUGCCCAUUUGAGGGGGAUACCAGUUGGAAACGACUGUUAAUACCGCAUAAUAUCUGUGGAUUAAAGGUGGCUUUCGGGCUGUCGCAGAUGGAUGAGCCUGCGUUGGAUUAGCUAGUUGGUGGGGUAAGGGCCCACCAAGGCUACGAUCCAUAGCUGAUUUGAGAGGAUGAUCAGCCACAUUGGGACUGAGACACGGCCCAAACUCCUACGGGAGGCAGCAGUGGGGAAUAUUGGACAAUGGGGGCAACCCUGAUCCAGCAAUGCCAUG